CUAGCAGUGAAGGAAGCUAAAGGGGAGGAUCGCGAUGGAGUUGGUUGCUAUACAUUGUGGAUUACAGCUGAGCGAUCUCGAUCGGUUGGUGAUGUUAAAGUAGGAGCGCUAGACCGCCGAGAUGGCCUGCGCUGCCAAACCCCCGUGAUGCCGAUAAGUCGUAUUGAAACUGCAACAAGCCUUGGAGUUGGAUCCUGAAUGGCAUGCAGCACUAUUGAUCUUGGGGAAUGCCCAUAGUCAGCAAGGGUUCUCCACCCCUAAUGAACAGGUUUUUUUGGGUUGCUUGAGAAGGCAACUUAGUGCUUCAAGCAGGCUGUGAAAUUGGCGCCCAAGGAUAGUGAUCUGAAGUAUGAUAUAGAUCACAUCCUCCUCUUCCAAGAUAAUAUAUGUAAAGAUGUAGAGCUACUGACCUCCUAAUGAGAGGAACAUUCUGUGAUACAUAACAGAUCAACCAGACUAUACAACUUUAUAAAUCAUUGUAAUGAACUAUUUUUUUAAAAAAGCUCUACAUCAUUUUGAGAGCGUGGAAUAUCAACAGCUUAAAA